GUUGAACGCUGGCGGCAUGCUUUACACAUGCAAGUCGGACGGCAGCACAGAGAAGCUUGCUUCUUGGGUGGCGAGUGGCGAACGGGUGAGUAACAUAUCGGAACGUACCGAGUAGUGGGGGAUAACUGGUCGAAAGAUCAGCUAAUACCGCAUACGUCUUGAGAGGGAAAGCAGGGGACCUUCGGGCCUUGCGCUAUUCGAGCGGCCGAUAUCUGAUUAGCUAGUUGGUGGGGUAAAGGCCUACCAAGGCGACGAUCAGUAGCGGGUCUGAGAGGAUGACCCACCACGCUGGGACUGAGACACGGCCCAGGCUCCUACGGGAGGCAGCAGUGGGGAAUUUUGGACAAUGGGCGCAAGCCUGAUCCAGCCAUGCCGCGUGUCUGAAGAAGGCCUUCGGGUUGUAAAGGACUUUUGUCAGGGAAGAAAAGGCUGUUGCUAAUAUCAGCGGCUGAUGACGGUACCUGAAGAAUAAGCCCCGGCUAACUACGUGC
rnacentral:rRNA from 1 species